rnacentral:tRNA from 1 species
AUUUAAGUAGCUUAUAAAGAGUAUGAUAUUGAAGUUAUCAGGGAAAUAUAAUUUUAUUCUUAAAUA